UCUUUUGAUACUUUUGGAGUUACACUGUAAAUGUCAUUUUGUAAAAUCUUUGUUUUUCAUAUUUUGGAAAAAAAAAAAACUUUUUGACUUCAUCAGCACGUCACUUCAUUUUUUUUCAUGCCUCCAUGGGCCGGUAUGUCCAGAGCCGGGGUGGCAGUUGGCACACCACUGUCUCUGUUACAGUGACCUUAGGGAGCAUGAUUGAUUGCAGCAUGGUAGAAGACUAGUUAAGCACGCAUGGAGCUAACCCAUUAAAGGGCCUUAUUGGUUUGGGAUUCGACUUUUUUGUUCUUCAAGGACAUUCAUCCUGCUGCCAAGAACUGUCAAACAGGAGCAUCUCAGUAUAAAGAGAUGCAGAGCCGUAACAGUUUACCUCUCCACACAGUCAGAGAGACGUGAGGAAUGGUUUGAAGCUGGUGCAUCAUGUCCUCCGACUGCAUACAAGAAACUGUUAUAUGUGGCCACGCCCACUCCUCCCC